GCCCGGCUAGCUCAAUCGGUAGAGCGUCAGACUCUUAUUCAAGCAAAUUGCGCUUCAGUGGAUCUGAAGGUUACGGGUUCGACCCCCGUGUCAGGCU